GAUGAACGCUGGCGGCGUGCCUAAUACAUGCAAGUCGAGCGAACGGACGAGAAGCUUGCUUCUCUGAUGUUAGCGGCGGACGGGUGAGUAACACGUGGAUAACCUACCUAUAAGACUGGGAUAACUUCGGGAAACCGGAGCUAAUACUGGAUAAUAUUUUGAACCGCAUGGUUCAAAAGUGAAAGACGGUCUUGCUGUCACUUAUAGAUGGAUCCGCGCUGCAUUAGCUAGUUGGUAAGGUAACGGCUUACCAAGGCAACGAUGCAUAGCCGACCUGGGAGGGUGAUCGGCCACACUGGAACUGAGACACGGUCCAGACUCCUACGGGAGGCAGCAGUAGGGAAUCUUCCGCAAUGGGCGAAAGCCUGACGGAGCAACGCCGCGUGAGUGAUGAAGGUCUUCGGAUCGUAAAACUCUGUUAUUAGGGAAGAACAUAUGUGUAAGUAACUGUGCACAUCUUGACGGUACCUAAUCAGAAAGCCACGGCUAACUACGUG
rnacentral:rRNA from 1 species